rnacentral:rRNA from 1 species
GACGGGGGGGGCAAGUGUUCUUCGGAAUGACUGGGCGUAAAGGGCACGUAGGCGGUGAAUCGGGUUGAAAGUGAAAGUCGCCAAAAAGUGGCGGAAUGCUCUCGAAACCAAUUCACUUGAGUGAGACAGAGGAGAGUGGAAUUUCGUGUGUAGGGGUGAAAUGCGCAGAUAUCAGGAGGAACACCGAUGGCGAAGGCAGCUCGCUGGGACGGUACUGACGCUGAGACGCGAAAGCGUGGGGAGCAAACAGG